CCCGCGGGCGGCGGCGGGGGCCGGGCGCCUUCCAUUGUGGCCGGGGGGAGCCGCGGGAGCCACGCGGGGGGCUCGCCAUCUUUAAAGCAGGCCCGCGGCGGCCCGGCCGGCCCGGCUGCACCGUCAUGCGGCCGCUCAUUGUCCGGGCCCGGCCGGCGGCCUCCGGGCACAAAGCGCUCCCUCCGAUUUGUAAAUGAGGGCGCCCGGGCCGCGCGGGGACGCGGGCGUUCUCUCGCUGCUGGGCGGCCUCCCGCCGCCCGGGGAGGGGAGCGAGCGGGGCUCCCGGGACCGGCCUCCCCUGGUCGGGCGUCUCGGGGCCCGCUGGGCUGGCCCGGUUCUGGCCGGCAACCCGGGAACCCCUCUCCGUGGACGCAGGGCUGGCCGGCACCUGCUCCUCCCGCGCGCUCCCCCGGAGAGCCCACGGGCUUGGCGACCGUCUCCCCGAUCGCCGUGGAUCAGCACUUGCCAGCGUCGGGCUUCAUUUUGAAACACCUGCCAGGAGCGCAGAUGUUGUCAGCCUGUGGGCUGGCUCCGAGCUGGGAGCCAGGUGCUCUUGGUUUCUAAGUUACCUGCUUUUCGGGGGCGGGGGGCGGGGAGCGUGGCCCCCCGACUGUGUGCCGUGCAGUCCGCAUCCGGCCAGGUGUGUGUGUGAAACUCCGCGGAUGCCCCGCCACAUUUGGCUACCUCCAUCCGCAUCCAACCUGACUCGGAAGCUAAUUUAAUUUCCUGCCCGUGUGGCAGCAGUUUUCCGAGGUACGGCACUUGGCGAUGCGAGGGCUUCUUGGUUAGGUUUGUAAAGGCACUGGGAGGGAGAGCGCGUUCUUGGAUUUUACCUGGUCGAGCAGAGCUGGUCAUUGGAAGGCAUCUUUGAUUUCUCGUGGUGCCAAGUACUUAAGAGGGUAAAGGCAGAGUUGUCUUCAUCAAAAGACAGUUUCCCAUACACCUGGUCGAGUCAGCCUGGCAGGAACCGGGCAUUGAGUGUUUUGUUCUCGUUGGCUUUUAGCAAGAGAUUUUGAGUUGCAUAAAUGAAUGGAGGCCCUAAGGAAGCUGGGAAACGAAUCAUUUAUCAUACGCAUGGGCCGCACGUGCGGGGUGCUGUGCACUGGUUGGUGGAAGUCCUUUCCAUGACUGGUAUUCCCCUGUGAAUAACUUACUGCCAGUAUACUGGGUGUUGACUGAAAAACUGGCCUGCAGAAGGCCAAGUGGUGGAGGUGCCUGCAGAAAGCACUUCCCAGUGGUACUUACCGUAGCGGGAAUGGGGGCCGCGGAGCGGAGUCCCCGCAAGGACUGGCUUACUUCACUUGGCCCCAGCAAGCAGCCACUUUGCAGAGCUUUUGGCAAGUGUGAUUCAAGCGGCUAGUGAAGGAAGACAUUGCUGGGAGAAUUUUGUCUAUUCCUUUGAUGCUACCUAGCAAAAAGGAUGCUUUUCAUUUUGUUUUUUAGGAUAUUACCCCGUCAGGACCAAAUCAGGGCUAGUGUAUAGAUUUCCCAUCUACGUUGCCUUACCUAUGUUCAAAUGUUACUGAAUGCUGGUGACAGUGAAUAAACAUGGACAUCACUGAAGUCUAUUUCUGGUACAGAACUGUGCUCUUUGGGGGGAACUGUAAGAAACUUGUUUCUCUUGAGUGGGCCUCUGUCCCAGAUUCAUCAUCCAGAAGGUACCUUUUCUUUGUCAGGCUUGUGAUUGACACCCUUUGCGCACCCACAUGUGUGUGGUUUAAGAAGCCGCCUGUGUAUUAAGCAGUCUGUUUCUGCUUUUCUUAGCCUUCCCCUUCUUCAAGUGUGGUGCUAGGUUUAUGUUAUGGUUUAGGAUUGGGAAGAGGGAAAGAAUCCUAUUAAAAAGCCAGCAGGGUGGGAUUUAGUUCCUAUCAAGUCUGGUUGGCUCCAUAUGUCAGGCUGUGGUAGUGACUUGCACCUGUUUAGCAUCUUCGCCUUAAUUCCAAUAGAAUUAACAGCUGGAAUCUCAGGGUUCUGAUCAGCUUGAAGCUUUGUCAGUGAGCAUCCUGCCUGCCCCUCCUGGGCAGGGUGGGUUCAAAUUAGACGGGGAGACUGGAUUGGUGGGUUGUUUUUUUCUAUAAAGAGGUCAGUGUUAGUUUGCUGUCUGUCCUCCAGCCCCCCUGUAUCUGGGUUGAAUUUGCUCCUGACUGAACUCUGCACAGUCCUUGCAUAGCUGCUGGAGAAUGACAGUGCCCUGGAUGAGUUAUAGUAAAAAAAAGCCUUGUUUUGAGCAGUUAGGAAAGUUACGAAGGGUGAAGGCAGAGUUGGGAAAGGUGGGGAACAUGGAAUUUCAUUGGGGUUGGGACCACAGGCUUCCUGUACGGCCUGAAGCAACCAAUCUCACGUUUUCAAGUUGGGGGCAUUUAGAACUGUGGAGGUGGUGUUGUGUUGUUAGGUCUGGCCAAGAUUGAAUGUUCUUGGCAGUUUACUCUAUAACUCAGAGGCAAUGCGGGCUGAGAGGCUGAAAGAAUGACUCGCACAGGCUUCUGCCCUGUGAGUACUUCGGGGAGGUGAUAAUCUGGUUUGUGUUAUGCCCUGUCAACAGGAAGUUUUCCCAAGGCCUUGCUUCUGCUGCAUAGACUGGCCAGCACCAAUGUAAAUAUCCUCAUGUUUGUUCCCUGGUGUUUCUUCUGCCCUUGUGAGCAGUCUCUGUUUCAGAGUGUCAUCUGUGAGGGGACAGUUCGGUUUGACUUUCGUGAAGCACUCGGACCCUAUCAGGGACACCAAGCUUCAAGCGAAAUCAGCGAGUCAGUCAGCUGCAGUUUCUGAAAAGAAUUGACCACUGCCUUCCAUGUUUUUAGUUUGGGGGGGUGGGCGCCACAACAGCAGUGGGUUUUUUUUCUUUUCAAACUUGUGUGGGUAGAUGGAGUUUCAAGUUACUUUUCUGCUCAAGCAGGUUAGGGAGUAGAAAGUGAGUUCUGUUGAACACAUGUACCUAGAUAAGCCCAAUUAAUGCAUUUUAUUAUAUCUAAAAGGUUUCCUUUUCAACUAGCAUUGUAACAAGACAAAUAAUAAGAAUAUUGACUUUCUCCUCACAUUUGCUUGGUAUGGUAAAAAACUAUGCAAAGCUACAAAGUGAACAUCAAUUCGUAGAACUCAAAAGAAAUAUAGAAGAAAUGAAAUUAGGCCGAACCUAGAAACAUAAUCUGAUGUGAGCCUGUCCAUUUUUGAACAUAUUGGAAGUUACUGUUGCAGGCAUCAGCCUUAUUCUUUCCAGGUGCUGAUUUUGAUUUGGUUAUCUGUAAACAAAUAAAAAAUUGAUACGGCAAAUAUGGGAAGAAAGUAUAUACUUUUCCUCCUCCAUUUAUUUAUUUUUUGAAUCAGUGUUGUGGGAAGAGGCCACUGAAAACUCAUGGUGGGGCUGUGGGGUGACUUGAGAGUACAGGUUUAGGGCUGAGCCUGAGUUUGAAUGUAGACUUUGCCAUUUAACUGUUCUGUGGCCUCAUAUACAUUGCUCAAGCUCUUGGCGCCUCAGUUUCUUCAUCCUUGAAAAGGAGUCAAUUCUAUCUUGCAAGAUUGUGAGGGAGGAAACACAAAGCACAGGCAAAGUGCCAGGCACAGAGUUGGGAGCACAGGUGAUGUGUAGUCAGUGGUAAUGCUGUGCUGGUUGAACCUUUGCACCUGAGGAAGGAUAAAGUUUGCCAAAUCCAGGUGGCAUGAGUUGGUUUUUGGAGGUAGGCAAAAAUGUCCUACGGUAAUUACAUCCUAAUGUGGAUCAGGAAGAAAACAUAACCAGCUUCAAUCUAAGCAACACUUUAUGAAAUUUGGGACUUGAUGUAUCUAAAUAGGUAUUUAAGGCCAAUGGUUUAAAUAUUUUAAGAAAGAUUAAAUGGCCCUGACUGCCGGCAUGGCUCAGUGGUUGAGCAUUGACCUAUGAACCAGGAGGUCAGUUUGAUUGCCAGUCAGGGCACGUGCCCGGGUUGCGGGCUCGAUCCCCAGUGUAGGGCGUUCAGGAGGCAGCUGAUCAAUAAUUCUCUGUCAUCAUUGAUGUUUCUCUCUCCCAUCCUCUAUGAAAUCAAUAAAAAUAUAUUUUAAAAAAUUAAAUGGGUAAUAGAGAUGAUGAGUGGAUGUAUAUUGUGACACUGGUACUGCAGUUUGGUCAGCUCCAUAGCCUUCGCUGAUAAGGGCAUUCUUGUUCUUGCACUAGUGUUAGAUCAUCUAAUGGGAGUUUGUGCAUCAGGUUGUAGCAGGGAAGCCAGGUCACCAAGCAUCCAGACUUUGGGAGUUGGCCUUGAACUCUCUCUGGAUACCCAAGCUCUUUUGAUUUUCCAGCUGCCACCCUAAAGCAAGGUCCCUGUUGCCUCAUGCCAGGACUUUGCAAUAGCCUUCUUACUGGUCUCGGCUUCCACCCUUCCUGAUUCCCACACAGCUAUGAAAACGGACUGCCCACAGGACUGCCCGGCCCUGCCACUGUCCUGCUUUUAUUUUAUUUAUUUACUAGUAUUUAUUUAUUUUCACUGUCCUGCUUUAAAAAGGACUCAGGUGUGCUGCCUUCCCUGUGUAGAGGCUAAGUCACACAACCCAAUCUAGGCCAUCGGAGUCCUCAGGAUGGCCUCAGCCUGCUCUGUGCUUUAGGCUCCCAGCAGGCACACAUAUGUGUUGAUGGAGUACAGCUCCAGGUUCUGGAUCUCACAGGAGCGUAGAUGGUGAUGUGACAGCUUCUCUUUCUGGAAUGCAUAGGGCAGAUACCCCAGGAAAGAGGUUCAAAACCCAUUCAGAUGCCAUCUUUUUCCUAAACCUUUCUGGUCACCUCCACCACUUUUGUUGCCAACCUUUUGCCCCAUGUGCUACCUGUGAGGUUGCCACUUGUGUACCCAUCUUCCUCACUGUUGGAUUAUUUGUGCUGAAGGUGACUGUCUUAUGUUCCUGUUUUGUAAAUGUACUGUGGAAGCUACUUCUUCGGAAAACAGCAAUUCUAAGGCUAAAGGUACCUGACUGGCUGGCAAGGUGGCCUGUGAAAGAGUGCCGAAGCCAUAAACCAAUCUUGCUUUGAUAGCUGCAAACACAGUUUUAUCGCUUUUAAUGGAACUUGCUUCAAAUGACAUUUUUCAUCCUUUUGGAAAGCUUGUUUUCCAGAUAAGGACACUGAUAGAUCUUCAUAAAUUACUGAAGGUUUCUUUUGAAUAUUUUCAAAUUUGUUUUUAUUGCUGUUACUGGUUUUUGGAUGAGCAGUAGGUAGCCUGGUUCUUCUCAAUUUCCAAAGCAAUGCAAUUUUAAUUUGGAGACCAAGAGUUGUAACAAGGUAUUUAUUUCUUGACAUGUAUUGUGACAGAGUUCAGUGUUAGAUGUCACCUGCUUCAUAAACUUAUUGUUCUGAAAUAAUUUGAACUUCGGAAAGUUGGAGGAAGCAGGAUUUUAAGUGUCAUGUGUAGGCCAGAAAGUUAGUUAUGCCAUUUUUCUAGUGGGUUAACACAUGCCUUGGCUAAUGAGAAGUCAGAUGUGUUGAAAUUUUCUUGAAGAGAAGCAGGCUUACUUUUGAGGGUUGGUGAUUUAAGUUUGGAAGUUGGGAAUCGAGGUAAUUAGAAUGUUUCCCAAGCAGGGAAAUAUACCAACCUGGGCAAGAGCCAACUGCUUCCAGAACUUGAUGACACAUUGAAUGUGGGACUAGCAAGAAAGAGGGGCCUCUGGGAGAACACACCCUGAGAAAUAACAUCACUUUCUGCGUUGUUGGGUGGACAUGAUCUGGGAGUAGAAGACCACACUGGGGUUAUAAUGAUAAUCGCUCACUGCCCUCACUAGGCUAUGCAAAUGUCAUAUUGUAGCCAGUUAGCUCUUGGUAAACCAUUGAGGUGUGGGGACCACUGUUGUGAGGUCACAGCUAUUAAUAUUCACAGAGAUGCCCACAUAUCCUUUCAAGGAGCCCAAGUUACUGAUUGACAGGAGGUUUACUAAAUGUUUGAAAUAUGAGUGAAUAUUGUCUGAGUCUCUAAGUGGUAGGUCCUUUUGCUUUUUGGGUCACUGAGAUCUAAAAGCUGUGGAGAAGGAGACCUCCUGUGUGACCACAACCGUUCUACCGGAUUUUCCUGCCUGGCAUAGAAUAUUCGAAACCCAGGUCCUCCCUCGGUUUUGAUUUCAUGCCAGUGACUAAAUUAGUUUUUUGACAUCCUAACACUGGGAAGGCAGUGUCCUGUGUUAUGUACCAGCCUCCAGAAUAUCGACCAGGGGAAGGUCUAGGUAUCGCAAUAAGUUGUUCAACUGGCCUCUGGUUUGGAAACGGGUUGUAGUAUGCAUUUGUUAGGAUGACCUGUAUUGCAGAGCAAGCUCACACCCAGGGUGUAGCCACAGGAGUCUAGGUGGUUAUUUCACUUCUCUUGGCUGUCCCUCUUGCCACCCUACUCCUGGGACUUUCAGAAAGUUGAGAGGAGCAUUUCCAAAGGAAACCAUGUGGCAUUGCUCUAAUGUGGCAGCUGAGCAGACCCUGCCACUCUGGCCCCUUAUAAAAAAGACCCUUGUAAAAAGGCAUAUGGGCCAUUUACCUAGAGUUGCAAAUACAUUUCAUCAAUAUGACUUCAGAGAAUGAAUUAUUUCAAGGCUCUUAAUUGACCCUGUGCAAUUGCUGUUUUAUUUUUUAAAAUUUUUAUAAGAGUUUAUUUGAACCAAACUGGUGACAGUGCUAGGAAGCAAGAUCUCAGAUGUUUCCUGCAUUUGCUGGAAGCACAUGGUAUCCUGGCCGGUAGCGCUGUUAGUUGAAGCGUAGUCCUGACCACCAGGGUUGUAGGAUUGAUACUCAGUCUGGGCACAUACUGAGGAAUCAACCAGUGAGUGAGUGCAUAGAUGAGUGGAACAGCAAGUUGAUGUUUCUCUCUCUCCCUCCCUCCCUCUCCCCCUCUCCCUCUCUCCCUUUCUUCCCUCUCUUUUUCUCUCUGCCUUAAAAAAAAUCAAUUAAAAAAACACAACAAGCACAUGUUAACACUCCUUAACAUGUUUACAUAGUUCAGCUCCUUUUAAAAUGUAGGGUAGGUAAUUUUGAAGUGCUUGCUUCUUACAGUUAGUAGUUUAUAUAAGCUUGGAUGAGAAAUUAUUCAAAUAAACUGUGAAGUCGUUAGAAACAUCCCAUAGCCCAGAUCAUUGUUUUAGAACCAUCAUAGAUACUUGUUGGAAUUCUCCCCAAGAAUCUCAGCCUUUUUGUCUUAGGUCUUGAGCUUGUGAGGACUUGGAGGGUGAACAGAAAGGGGCUGGAGUGCCUGAUGUGCAGAAUGCCCUCAGAAGUAGCUGGAGGAGUGAGGGUUGCGGUGGCUGUUUGUAAGCGCCAGCCUUUGGGCUCUCCCUCCCUGUCAAGCCUGGGAGCAGUGGUGGCCCAUGGCUGCUUCUCCUGGUUGGUGUAGUGUGGUGUGUCUACCCUAGCCCGAAGAAGUCCUCACUUCUCUGAAGCACUCCAGGUCUCCUGCUACUGGUACUGGUGAGGUUGUUUUCCUACUUUAGGUCAAUCUUUGUCCAGAAAGCUACUUGUUUUCAUAUGGGGGCAUGGGGAGAUACAUAUGUGAGAAGACUCUUAAGGGUUUAUUAUACUCUACAGUGUGGUAGCCACCAGCCACAUGGCGGUGAUUUUUAAGUUUAAAAUAAAAUUUAAAAUCUUAUUCCUCAAGUGAUUGCAUUUUACCUGUUCAGUAAUUAUACACAUUGGUGAACAGUGCAAAUGAACCUGUCCCUCAAUGAAGAAUGCUAGUAUGUUAUGGCCAGCGCUGCUGUGGCUGGCUCCUUGGCCUGAAGGUGUUCUGGUAGUAGUAGUGUGACAUUGAAUGAUAGAAAGUGUUCCAGUGUGUCCUGGAAAAGUAACAUUAAAAUGAGUAAAAGCAUUGGAAACUUAUGGAUAAAUAGUUCCUGGGCAAACCCUUUAUUUAGAGCUUGGCUUCUCCAGUUACUUGUGGUACAGUACCAGGUUCUUUCCUUUAACUGCCAGUCCAUUGUGGACAAUUUCUAAAUUGUGUUUUAUAGAAAUUCAGUGCAAACAAAUUACUCAACAAGUAAAAUAAAAUAGACACACAGAAUACAAGCCCUAAUUUAUUAUUAAAAUUCAACAAAGGUAAAGUUUUAUUUCAACAGUUAUAUUUAGAGCAAACAGGAAGAAAGGAAAGUAUUGCAUAAACUGUACAUGUUUGUUGAAAGUAUGUGUAUAGGCCAGCUGUGGGCAAACUAUGGCCCCCGGGCCGGAUCCGGCCCGUUUGAAAUGAAUAAAACUAAAAAAAAAAAAAAAAA